rnacentral:rRNA from 1 species
GAUGAACGCUGGCGGUAUGCUUAACACAUGCAAGUCGAACGGACUCUUCGGAGUUAGUGGCGGACGGGUGAGUAACGCGUGAGAAUCUGGCUUUGGGUUCGGGACAACCACUGGAAACGGUGGCUAAUACCGGAUGUGCCGAGAGGUAAAAGAGAAAUUGCCUGAAGAUGAGCUCGCGUCUGAUUAGCUAGUUGGUGAGGUAAAGGCUCACCAAGGCAGCGAUCAGUAGCUGGUCUGAGAGGAUGACCAGCCACACGGGGAAUGAGAGACGGCCGAGACGACUACGGGAGGCAGCAGUGGGGAAUUGUCCGCAAUGGGCGAAAGCCUGACGGAGCAAUACCGCGUGAGGGAAGAAGGUGCUUGGGAUGUAAACCUCUUUUCUUAGGGAAGAACAAAAUGACGGUACCUAAGGAAUAAGCAUCGGCUAACUCCGUG